UCUCGAUUCGUCUAGUGGUUAGGAUACCUGCUUGUCAUCUCACUAAUUACGUGUUGAUCGAGCUCGCAGGUGGCCGGGGUUCAAUUCCCCGAUCGAGAG